GACGAACGCUGGCGGCGUGCCUAAUACAUGCAAGUCGAGCGCAGGAAGCCAUCUGAACCCUUCGGGGGGACGACGGUGGAAUGAGCGGCGGACGGGUGAGUAACACGUAAAGAACCUGCCCAUAGGUCUGGGAUAACCACGAGAAAUCGGGGCUAAUACCGGAUGUGUCAUCGGACCGCAUGGUCCGCUGAUGAAAGGCGCUCCGGCGUCGCCCAUGGAUGGCUUUGCGGUGCAUUAGCUAGUUGGUGGGGUAACGGCCCACCAAGGCGACGAUGCAUAGCCGACCUGAGAGGGUGAUCGGCCACACUGGGACUGAGACACGGCCCAGACUCCUACGGGAGGCAGCAGUAGGGAAUCUUCCACAAUGGACGAAAGUCUGAUGGAGCAACGCCGCGUGAACGAUGAAGGCUUUCGGGUCGUAAAGUUCUGUUGUAAGGGAAGAACAAGUGCCGCAGGCAAUGGCGGCACCUUGACGGUACCUUGCGAGAAAGCCACGGCUAACUACGUGCCAGCAGCCGCCGUAACAC
rnacentral:rRNA from 1 species